rnacentral:rRNA from 1 species
CUACGGGAGGCAGCAGUGGGGAAUAUUGCACAAUGGAGGAAACUCUGAUGCAGCAACGCCGCGUGGAGGAUGACACUUUUCGGAGCGUAAACUCCUUUUAUAUAGGAAGAAGAUGACGGUACUAUAUGAAUAAGCGCCGGCUAACUCCGUGCCAGCAGCCGCGGUAAUACGGAGGGCGCAAGCGUUACUCGGAAUCACUGGGCGUAAAGAGCGUGUAGGCGGAUUAAAAAGUCAGAAGUGAAAUCCUAUAGCUUAACUAUAGAACUGCUUCUGAAACUCUUAAUCUAGAAUAUGGGAGAGGUAGAUGGAAUUUCUGGUGUAGGGGUAAUAGCCGUAGAGAUAAGAAGGAAUACCGAUUGCGAAGGCGAUCUACUAGAACAUUACUGACGCUGAGACGCGAAAGCGUGGGGAGCAAACAGGAUUAGAUACCCCAGUAGUC